CAAUAUUGACGUUAAAUGCCACUGGGCAGUACCGAGUGAAUCCCACAGAGAUUCUUUCUCCUUGUCUUACAGACAGAUUUGCCAAUUUCGCGAUGAAGAUGCACUAGGGUAUUAUGCGGUUUGAAUAACGUGUCAAGAUGUAUCUAUCGGAGCCAUGUCAUCAUCUCCAGAGGGUAUCCUGAUCAGAGAGUUAUUCUGUGUAAAACAGCUUGAGAAUUGUCAUCUUAUAUCUGAUUACUUAAGUCCUACCUCUACUAUAAUGUGUAGCUGUAUUAGACAAGAUGCGUAAGACAGGUGGCAUUUCCCAGUGGACCACGUACUCUCACAUACCUGAAUACUCAGUGUCGCGCCAUCUCGUCAUAAAUCAACGAUAAUAUCUUCUCGCUUCUGAAUUAAAGUUUCUGGCACAUUUGAUGAAAAAAAAGAAAGAAGUCGAGAAUGUGAGGGAGAGAGGAAGUUUGAAGAUUAAGUUUCCCUUCGCCGUCGCGUCUCUCAUCCGUGGCGUUGAGUUUACGUAAUAAUGCGAGGAUCAUCGCUGUGCCUGAACGCUGGUGCCGGCCGGCUAACACGUUGAGGGCCAAGGCCCACUCACAUCAGGGAGGGGCGACACUGUACCUUCUGAACACGAGACGUUGCCACGC